UUUGACCGUGCGAAGGUAGCAUAGUCAGUAGUCUUUUAAUUGGAGGCUUGUAUGAAUGGUUGGACGAGGGACAAGCUGUCUCUUUUACGUGGUUUGAAUUUAACUUUUAAGUGAAAAGGCUUAAAUUAUUUAGUGGGACGAUAAGACCCUAUAAAACUUUAUACAGGUUGAGUUAAAUUUGUGAUUUAGGUGAAAAGUAGUUUUAUUUGACUUGUAUUUUGUUGGGGCGACAUAGAUAUAAUAUGUAACUGUCUAUUAAAUUUAAUAGUGUUAAUUAGUUUUUGAUCCUUCUUUGUGGAUUAAAAGAAUAAGUUACUUUAGGGAUAACAGCGUGAUUUUCCUUGAGAGUU
rnacentral:rRNA from 1 species